rnacentral:rRNA from 1 species
UUUUUUACCUUAGACGUGAGGGAAAGUUGAAAAGAACUUUGAAAAAAGAGCCAAAGAGUGCUUGAAAUUGUCGAGAGGGAAGCGGAUGGAGACCGGCGAUAGGCCCAGGUUGGAUGUGGAACGGUGGUUAGCCGGUCUGCUGAUWGGCUCUGGGUGUGGAUCAGCGAGAAUUCAGGUGGCGGUUGAAGCUUGGGCAUUUGAUAUGCUAGGGWGUAUGCCGUCUCUUGUAUUGUGGGAAGUAGUGCGCGCCCCGCGUGUGCUUCGGCACCUGCGUACUCAGGUCGUUGACUUGUGGGCUCUCCAUUCGACCCGUCUUGAAACACGGACCAAGGAGUCUGACAUGUGUGCGAGUUGGCGAGUGGAAAAACUYGCAAGGCGYAAGGAAGCUGAUUGGCGGGAUCCCUCUUYGGGGUGCACCGYCGACCGACCUUGAUCUUUUGAGAAGGGUUUGAGUGUGAGCAYACCUGUUGGGACCCGAAAGAUGGUGAACUAUGCCUGAGCGGGGUGAAGCCAGAGGAAACUCUGGUGGAAGCCCGCAGCGAUACUGACGUGCAAAUCGUUCGUCUGACUUGGGUAUAGGGGCGAAAGACUAAUAGACC